CUACUCUGGUUUCUCUUCAAACCUAAUAAAUCUUUUGCAUUUUACUAACGAUUUCUGUGGAAAACCACAAAUAUGAGUUAACAAUAAUUUUCGAGGUUCUACAUUUAGAGCU